rnacentral:rRNA from 1 species
CCUACGGUAGGCAGCAGUGGGGAAUAUUGCACAAUGGGGGAAACCCUGAUGCAGCGACGCCGCGUGAGUGAAGAAGUAUUUCGGUAUGUAAAGCUCUAUCAGCAGGGAAGAAAAUGACGGUACCUGAUUAAGAAGCCCCGGCUAACUACGUGCCAGCAGCCGCGGUAAUACGUAGGGGGCAAGCGGUAUCCGGAUUUACUGGGUGUACAGGGAGCGUAGACGGCAGCACAAGUCUGGAGUGAAAUGCCGGGGCUUAACCCCGGGACUGCUUUGGAAACUGUGCAGCGAGAGUGCAGGAGAGGUAAGUGGAAUUCCUAGUGUAGCGGUGAAAUGCGUAGAUAUUAGGAGGAACACCAGUGGCGAAGGCGGCUUACUGGACUGUAACUGACGUUGAGGCUCGAAAGCGUGGGGAGCAAACAGGAUUAGAUACCCGGGUAGUC